rnacentral:rRNA from 1 species
CACGUAGGGCGCAAGCGUUGUCCGGAAUUAUUGGGCGUAAAGAGCUCGUAGGCGGUCUGUUGCGUCUGCUGUGAAAACCCGGGGCUUAACCCCUGGCUUGCAGUGGAUACGGACAGACUAGAGGUAGGUAGGGGAGAAUGGAAUUCCCGGUGUAGCGGUGAAAUUCGUAGAUAUUGGGAAGAACACCGAUGGCGAAGGCAGCCAUCUGGACCGACACUGACGCUGAGGCGCGAAAGCGUGGGGAGCAAACAGG